rnacentral:misc_RNA from 1 species
CAGCGAGCGAUUCGAUGGGCUCAAUAUCUUGAGUCUCAUGCUAUGCGGUUAUAUGCGUUUGCUGCAUCCCCUGAGCGAGUGUUAGCAUCACCAUUGCUUGAGAGAUUGCUGCAAUGGAAACCUGAUGUUCCGAUUCGUAUUCGGAGCAUUCGGCUAAAGGGAUGGGCUGGACUGUCAGAAUCCAAGGUGAUCGAAUCGACGUUGGAGACGUUGGAAGAUGGGCGUUGGUUGCUGUCAUCUGAGGAUG